UACGAAGGGGGCUAGCGUUGCUCGGAAUUACUGGGCGUAAAGGGAGCGUAGGCGGACAUUUAAGUCAGGGGUGAAAUCCCGGGGCUCAACCUCGGAAUUGCCUUUGAUACUGGGUGUCUUGAGUAUGAGAGAGGUAUGUGGAACUCCGAGUGUAGAGGUGAAAUUCGUAGAUAUUCGGAAGAACACCAGUGGCGAAGGCGACAUACUGGCUCAUUACUGACGCUGAGGCUCGAAAGCGUGGGGAGCGAACAGG
rnacentral:rRNA from 1 species